rnacentral:rRNA from 1 species
AACGAACGCUGGCGGCGCGCCUAACACAUGCAAGUCGAACGAGAAUCCGGGGCAACCCGGUAGUAAAGUGGCAAACGGGUGAGGAAUACAUGGGUAACCUACCCUUGAGAAGGGAAUAACCCGCCGAAAGGUGAGCUAAUACCCUAUACGCUAUCUUUUUUUCGAAAAGGAUAGGAAAGCCGGGUCGAGGACCUGGUACUCAAGGAGGGGCUCAUGUCCUAUCAGCUUGUUGGUGGGGUAACGGCCUACCAAGGCUACGACGGGUAGCUGGUCUGAGAGGAUGAUCAGCCAGAAUGGGACUGAGACACGGCCCAUACUCCUACGGGAGGCAGCAGUGAGGAAUAUUCCGCAAUGGGGGAAACCCGUGACGGAGCGACACCGCGUGGAGGAUGACGACUUUUUAGUUGUAAACUCCUGUCCUGAGGGAAGAAAUUUUUGACUGUACCUCAGAAGAAAGCACCGGCUAAUUCUGUG